rnacentral:rRNA from 1 species
UCACUGGUCGAGUCGGCCUGCGCGGAAGAUGUAACGGGGCUAAACCAUGCACCGAAGCUGCGGCAGCGACACUAUGUGUUGUUGGGUAGGGGAGCGUUCUGUAAGCCUGUGAAGGUGUACUGUGAGGCAUGCUGGAGGUAUCAGAAGUGCGAAUGCUGACAUAAGUAACGAUAAAGCGGGUGAAAAGCCCGCUCGCCGGAAGACCAAGGGUUCCUGUCCAACGUUAAUCGGGGCAGGGUGAGUCGA